rnacentral:rRNA from 1 species
GACAAUCAGGAUUUGCAAGAUGAAAAUAAUGUUCCAAGUGUUGGGAUGAGCUUUCAAUCCGAGGAAGAGGCAUACCAGUUCUACAAUUCUUAUGCUAAAAUAAAAGGAUUUAGCAUUAGAAAGUGCCACCUGAAGCUUAGAGCAGAUAACACUUUAAGUGCCAGAUAUUUAGUUUGUAGCAAGGCAGGUGUGAAGGCCACUCAUCCAACACAUGUACCCAAGAAAGAACAAGCUAUUUCGAGGACUGAUUGCAUGGCACGUGUUCAAUUCAGCAUCAAUCGGGAGGGUAUUUGGAGUGUUUAAAAAGUCAUGCUCGAGCACAAUCAUCAGCUUGUAAGUCCAGACAAGAGGCACAUGCUUAGAUCACAGCGUCAACUCUUAGAUGCUGACCGCCACAUGAUUAAGCAAAUGAGGACAUCCGGAAUUAAACAAGCUGAAAUAUAUGAUUUCUGUGAGGUUUGGUAUGGUAAAGAUGCUAUGCCAUUCUUGCAAAUGGAUUGCAACAAUUACUUACGAAGUGAGCGCUCGAAGUAUUUGGAGACUAAAGAUGCACAAACAUUAACAGAGUAUCUAACGAAUAAGCAAGCUGAGGACCCUUCAUUUUUCUAUGCCAUGCAAUUAAAUGAUAAUGAUGGUACAAUAAUGAAUAUCUUUUGGACUGAUGGACAAGCUAUCAUGGAUUAUUAUGUCUUUGGAGAUGCUGUUUCCUUUGACAACACAUUUUCAACAAAUAAAUUUCAAAUGCCAUUCGCUCCAUUUAUUGGUGUUAAUCAUCACAAACAAACAGUUCUUUUUGGUGCAGCGCUGCUAUAUAAUGAAACUGCAGAUACAUUUGAGAGGAAUUCAAGAAGCAAUUCAGUUUGUCGUGUGUGUUGCUAG